AUUUUGGACAUCAUCAUUCAUAUGCUAAAUCAAGGUAAACUAAUUGAUGGGCAAGGACGUAGCAUCGACUUCACUAAUACCAUGGUUAUUAUGACUUCAAAUGUGGGAGCAGAACAGCUCCAUUUGUUUUGCAAAUGCUCCUUGCAUGAUCCGCGGGAGUUUUUUGGAAAACAUGAUUGUUACCUGAAGGGUAGCGGCCCCGAGCGAGUUAUUGAAGAGGUAUAGGAUUUUUAUAGUUUGAGAAAUCUCAUUUGUUUUUUGAUGUGGGAUGUGCCGAGGGUUUCUUUUCAAGUAGAUGACAAUCAAUAUUUCGUGUCCACAUGCUUUGCAGGCAAAAAGGUUCCUCAAACCUGAGUUGCUGAAACUCCUGGAUAAUAUAUAUGUGUUUGAGAAGAGGCUUUUAAAUAAACUUAUUGCUAGGGUUAAAUUGAGGGACAUGGUUAGAUCAAUAACUGAACGAAAGGUUGUCGUAUAUCCUUCCGAGGAAGCGUUAAAUCUAUUGUCUCUCGAGCUGCCUGUGAGUAUCCUUUGUCAUCUUUGCAGUUGUUUAUUUGGAGUUGAAUUUUGUAUAAAUGUGGUUCGUGUUGGUUUUAGUGUUUCACCCGCGCCAUGCACGGUCUUGUCUUUGUAUGUGUUUGCUUCCAUAAUGUAUUUGUUUAUGUAAUACCUAAAUAUAUACAUGCAUUCAAACAUCUACUUACAUACCAACGAAUGUACAUGCAUGUAAACAUCCACAAAUAUAUUUCGAUGACUAACAUCACACGGCUAACCAUAUUUUCGUCACGCAAGGUAUAAUGAGUUUCUGGGUUUUGAGUUCUUAGUCCAAAUUUUAUGAACAAUCUAAGCAAUUUGAUGAAGCAGCCAACAAAAUAAGUUUUGGACAGAUUCUCCAGAAUAAAAGUAGCAUCAGGCCUUCUCAAACAUACGAAUCCCAUUGAUCAGAAACCCCGCAUUAGUCUAUAAUACUCAAAUACACUCGGUUCUUGUGAAGUUCCCCCCUAUUAUGAAAAGAGAAAUAAAAUUUGUACAAGGUUAAAAUUAAGAAAUAUACUAAGAAAUAUGAAUAUUUUGCCAUGUCCAUGUAUCCUUUAAAUGAGAAUUAUUGGAUGACUCCGACACUAGGACAGCAAUCCGCACCCAACGCCCGUACCCGAGACCAGGUAACAUAGGUGGCACCCUUUCGCGACGUGCCAAUAGGAGGGCACAGCUGUACUAUUAUAUUAUAUGAUUAGAAUUACUGUCGUUGCAUUCUUUGAACGAGGUUGCCUCUUUAUUUUGUACCUUAGUUAUAGAAAAUGAGAAAAUGCUUGUGUCUUGACCUGAGAUCUUUGUCAAUUUGACAUAAUAUUUUAAUAGAAUUUUUUUUUUCCGUCUGUGAAGACUGAUAGAACACACUGGCCCGAUAUUUUUGUCUGGUUGUUUAUCUGGAGAUUUUUCUACCUUUGGAGAUUGGAUGCCUCCGUUCAUUCAAUUUUGCACCUGAUUAGUUUUGUCAUUUCUCAUCCAAACCCCACAACUUAGAAGUCCCUUCUUUAUAAGUAAAGAAUCGUGUCAGAUAUAAAGAGGUUUUAAAUGACAUUUUAUUGGAAAUGAUAGGGUGCACUUAAUUUCUGUUCUUAUGGAAACCCACCCCCCACUAUUUCUGGAUUGGAAAUCUUUUCCUGCAAGAUAAAGGAAUAGUAGUUGUACAUUUCUUUGCCACUAAUUACUUUGCGAUGGACUGACUUAGGCCACUUAAACAAACUUUCAGGCACUAUCCCGUGAGAAGUGGUUGGACUGGCAUUCUCUGAUUAUUGUGAAGUAUUAGUUCUAGUAUGUUGCCUUGUGCACUUCAUAAUUGUCUCCCAAUUUCGUCACAUUUCAUUAACGAAUAUGCACGAAUAUGCUGGAAGCCCAGUCCUUUACAAUAUAGUUAUGUUGUUUCUUUGGCCUAAUAAUUUACAACUCCUACAAGUUAUGUUGUGGCACUACUUGUUUGACAUGUCUUUAUGCAUACCUUUUGAAUAUGAAAGAGCGAAGGCUAUGGUCCUCUCUUGGAAUUUUUAGUGGUCUAUAGAGUUUGAUAAGUGUCGUUGUGCCCUGGAUUUACUGAUAGAUGUGCCAAGUACAAAUUAUUAAAAUUAUAAGGCGCCUUUGGAUGUGCGUUCAAACACUUGGGGGUGGGAUUGGAUGGGAUUUUUUGCUGUCGCGAGAGAGAGGGGGGAGGGGUCGACAUGUAUCUGUGUCCAACAUGUUUGAAGUCUCACCUUCUUGGAAGUCUUUAUACUUGUUAAUUGCACCGUCAAAAAUAGAAAUGCAUGAAUCCACGACAUCAAUCCUGGUAUCAGAAUGAUAUGGUACCUAGUAUUUGGUUGAACGUUUUGAAACUUGUUUCAGGAUAUUUUUAAAAGAAGCCAUUUUUUUUCUUUGGGGUAAGUAAGCGAUUAGUUUAUGACUAUAUAUAUUUAUUACAAUAAAGCCCAAUACACUAUCAAAAAGGGCACACAAAAAGACUACUGAA
rnacentral:lncRNA from 1 species